rnacentral:piRNA from 1 species
UGUAGGUGUAAAAGUUGGUGUCCGAAC